UACGAAGGGGGCUAGCGUUGCUCGGAAUCACUGGGCGUAAAGGGUGCGUAGGCGGGUCUUUAAGUCAGGGGUGAAAUCCUGGAGCUCAACUCCAGAACUGCCUUUGAUACUGAGGAUCUUGAGUUCGGGAGAGGUGAGUGGAACUGCGAGUGUAGAGGUGAAAUUCGUAGAUAUUCGCAAGAACACCAGUGGCGAAGGCGGCUCACUGGCCCGAUACUGACGCUGAGGCACGAAAGUGUGGGGAGCGAACAGG
rnacentral:rRNA from 1 species